AAUAUAUUAUAAAAAAGCAUGUACGUCUCAUUGGUUAAAACAUUAUAAGAUGUUUUCCAUGUCUAAUUCCAUUGCAUACUAAAUAGUAAAGUGAUAUGCCAAGAAAGCAUUUAUUUAGUUGAAAAAGCUCUACACUAUCUCCUAGAAUCUUAAGUAGUAUAGUGAGUUUCUCCAUUGUCAACUCUAAGGAGCAGUUGGCACACUUGUAACUGAGUUGCUUUAUAAGAGGGAGUAAAGGACUUUUUGUUUUUAUUUUGUUUCCUUAUCCAGUACAUGAAGCAUGAUGAUCAAUUCCAAUAGAAGACAAAAGAAUGUGCUAUGGAAAGGAAGAAGAAAUAAUGUGAUUUGCUAUGGUUUGCAGCCCUUCAACGAUUCAAUUUUAAGAUUGUUGUUUCUGCAAGCAGCUGUCCUGUCCCAGAAAUUAGAUAGGCUACUUAAAUAAUUUGAACUUCAACUUCUUCAAAAUUAAAAUGGAUAAAACUUAUUUUCCUACAUCUUACCUGAAAUUGUAUGGAAAAUAAUUUACAAAGUUGUAUGUUUGUUUCUUAGAACAUGUUGUAUCUCUCUGAAUAUCUUUUUAAAUCAUAUUUAAGUUUAUAAAAUUAGCAUAUUUUUAUUACAUAUGAAAUAAUAUAGUGCCAAAGUGUCAUAUAAUUUCAUCUAGCUCUCUUGUAUCCAAAUAAACAGAUGUUAUAAGUAUGAUGGUUGACUAUC
rnacentral:lncRNA from 12 species